CAGCAGCCGCGGGAAUACAGAGGGUGCGAGCGUUAAUCGGAUUUACUGGGCGUAAAGCGUGCGUAGGCGGCUUUUUAAGUCGGAUGUGAAAUCCCUGAGCUUAACUUAGAAAUUGCAUUCGAUACUGGGAAGCUAGAGUAUGGGAGAGGAUGGUAGAAUUCCAGGUGUAGCGGUGAAAUGCGUAGAGAUCUGGAGGAAUACCGAUGGCGAAGGCAGCCAUCUGGCCUAAUACUGACGCUGAGGUACGAAAGCAUGGGGAGCAAACAGGAUUAGAUACCCGCGUAGUCCCUGUCUCUUAUAC
rnacentral:rRNA from 1 species